GAUGAACGCUGGCGGCGUGCCUAAUACAUGCAAGUCGAGCGAACAGAUGAGGAGCUUGCUCCUCUGACGUUAGCGGCGGACGGGUGAGUAACACGUGGAUAACCUACCUAUAAGACUGGGAUAACUUCGGGAAACCGGAGCUAAUACCGGAUAAUAUAUUGAACCGCAUGGUUCAAUAGUGAAAGACGGUUUUGCUGUCACUUAUAGAUGGAUCCGCGCCGCAUUAGCUAGUUGGUAAGGUAACGGCUUACCAAGGCAACGAUGCGUAGCCGACCUGAGAGGGUGAUCGGCCACACUGGAACGGAGACACGGUCCAGACUCCUACGGGAGGCAGCAGUAGGGAAUCUGCCGCAAUGGGCGAAAGCCUGACGGAGCAACGCCGCGUGAGUGAUGAAGGUCUUCGGAUCGUAAAACUCUGUUAUUAGGGAAGAACAAAUGUGUAAGUAACUAUGCACGUCUUGACGGUACCUAAUCAGAAAGCCACGGCUAACUACGUG
rnacentral:rRNA from 1 species